ensembl:lncRNA
CUCCUAUCUUCCAGACUUCCACAAAAUACAUUACUACAACUUACUACAAUUACUAAAACUUUUUUCCACUAUGUAAUGUAAUCAGUAGUGCCAGAGCCAGGCUUUCUGCAAUUAAGGUUGUUUUUUAUCUGAUAUAAGAUUACAUAUUACAUAUUACAUAUAAGUAGGGUGUCCAUAUUUUGUUUUUCAAAAAAGAAGAAAUGAAAGGGGGCACUCUAAAGUCUGUCAUGGUGAAGAUGUUUGUGUGUGUAUAUGAGAGAGAGUAAAAGUGUAGGAGGUAAAUAUCUCAACAGAGAAAUGAUGAGAGUUAAAAGACCUAGCUUAAACUGAAAGUGUUUAAACAGACAUACAGCUCAUUACAGCUCACUCCCUCAACAUUCAUUAUAACAGCACACACUGAACCUGAACACUGAACCUCGGAAUGCUGCUGAACUGUGUGCUGCUGUUUAUCUGUGUAUUGUAUGUGCAGGAGUUGGCUAAUAUCCUCAUCCCUGCUGCUAUGUCCCAGUACAUGUUUCAGAGCCAGGAGGGAGAGGCCUACCCCACUGCUGGCUGUGAGGAACAGUGAGGGCCUGACGCUGCAGCCGGCACAGGCUACUCCUCCUACACCAUCCGAUCUCGGUGAACACAUGGCCUGUGGAUGGCAGAUGGUCCUCACAUCCAUUCAGAAUAUUCAGCGAUGUCAGGGUUGUGAUUGUGACAGCCAGAGUUUCACACGGAGAUCCAUCAUCAGCUGUGGAUUACAAAAGCACAUCCUGAUACUCUGAACUGAAUGACCUGCUCAGUGGAAUUCAAGUGUUUGCAGCUGAAGAUGUGCAUUAAAACGUGUACACAAGAGAAACACGCUGAAGCCACUGGUGAAGAUUCCGACCUGUUUUUUGUUUUUUUUUCUUUUUGACGCCAUCCAAAGGAUCUUAUUCUCUUGAGAGAAAUAAUCACAUCACACAUCCACUGAAAGACCUGCAACACUUAAGUUAAACCCCAGCCUGAGUGGUGAAGACCAGUCCACUGCUGAGGUACCACUUUUCUACCAGUAUGACGCGGGAGUAAAUGAAGGAGUAUUUGCAUCAUUGCAUAAAAAACAUGGCCCAAGUUUGAAUGCACUUUAGUCUGUGUGUUGGAGUUAAUGCUUGUGGAGCUGGGGUUUCAUUUCUAAUAUUUGGUUGUAAAUAUACAUUUCUAUAUAUUUUCAUUUUGAUCAUACACUAUAUUUGUAUUCAAAUAUAUAUUUAUAGCAAUAUAAACAUAGAGAACAUUUGCUACUGUAAUGUUUGUAUUAAUGUGAGAGGUCUAGGGACUUUUAAAGCAGACCUCACAUUAGGAAAAGAAAAAAACUGAAACCAUGCACUGCUUUUUUUGCACAAUUUUGUGUCUCUAUUUACUCAAUAACACAUUCUGUAUCUGAAGCAGAUACUGAGGCACCCAGUAUCUUUGUGCACUAAAGUAUUUUUAGUUGAAUUAUAUUCUUACUGCAUUUACUUAAAUGUCUAUGCUAUGCUGAUGAUUUAUAUUUUGUCUCUGAUAAAUUUAGAGUACAUUGUCAAUAUUAGCUUAUUAAUAUUAGUUUAUAUUACGAAACUGAAACGAUUGAAACAGCAUAAUCUAGCAGUGUCAGCCUAAACAGUAUUAAUAUUUUAUGUUAAAUGUGACUUGCUGCCAAAUUUAGCAGAUGAAUUUGAUGUAUUGUGUAUUUCUAGUUUUAUCUUUGUGACAAGAACUUUGAAGAUCGGAACUUCCAUCAAUUCUAAUUUUGUACAUUCUAACCUUAAUCAGUAUAUCCUUCUAUUAAGAAGUAAACACAUUUUAACAAAUAUAACAUAUGUAUAUAUUACACACAGGUUUUAAGGUUUUGGCAGUCUUGUCAAAAUUUGUAGAAACAAAGAGUGAACAAUCUCUGUAGAUUAUUAAACAUUAAGCUCAGUAUUUUCAGAAAAUCUUAAAGCACCACUGCUCAAAAAAUUUAAAGAUGAACUGUUAAAUGUUAGCUAAGGAGGUUAGAAAAAAGGCAGAAAAAAUCAGUGGAUAAAAACAUUGUGUGUUUUAUGUUUGAUUGGCUGCAGAGGUUUCGGUAUGAACACAGUUAGUCUUGCUCUGUAGUGGGUUGAUAAAGUUUCCUCCCCACAACCCUCCUAGUGUGAUGUUGAUCAGCACAGGCGCUGGUUGAAGCUAGAGAGCUGUGCUUUCCUCUGCUCUGCUGCAUAGUGUUGGUGGCUGACUUCACAUGAGCUAGUCUAUUCCUUCCAACUAUUGGGAGCAUUACUAGAGAUAGGGCUAGUCUAUACUAUAUAUCAUAUAAACAGGAACUGGGUAAUUGAAUAUUCAUGUUGGGUUUGGGCAAAUACAGUAAUCACAAACGCACAAAGACCCUUCAGAGGUGGGACUCUUUCUGGUCCCAAACGAACUCUGGAGCAGUUUGACUGUAGUAAGAACAUUUUCUGACCUCAAUACAUCUCUGCAGUUUUAGGCAACUUCGCAAAUUUGAGCUAAACACCUAAUUAGCCCAGAUAGUUACUACAUUUCUGUUGCACAGAAAUGUAGCACUAGUUCAUAUCAUAGGACCUUCUUCCUGUAUUUACUUUCUUGCUCCUACCAGAGACAAGUCUGACCAAUAGGUGGAAAGAAAACAUUCUCACAUGGUUUUGUGCACUUGGAUUUUUCCCUAUGUAUAAAAAUAACCAAGAGGAAACACUUUAAAUUCAGGCCAGAGAAAACCAAGAUGUAUAGCUGUAAAAAUGCUUGUAUACCUUCAUAGUCAUUUAUUACAUACAAUAUUAAAAAUAUAUAUAUGUUUAAGAUUUUACAACACAUUUAGUGCUUUUAGCUUUCAUGUGGACGUAUUUGCUGUUUAAGCUGACACUGAAAACACCUCAUAUAUGUGACCACUUAACAUGGAUACAUAAGAUCCACUAACACCUCAAAGAAACAAAACAUGACUUACUUUCUGUGGCAGCCAUAUUGUGCAGAAAACACCCUAGAUCUCUUACAGUCUUUUUCUUUUUUAUUUUCUUUAACUGAAAGUGCAAUACUGCGGUACUGAUUUGUAAGAUAUCCCAAAGAUGCAAUACAUGUGACCAUUAGAAUGUAUGGCCUGAAUACAAAAACCUAAGCAUUUGUGUGAACACUGAUGAUGAAAACACAUAAAUAGUAUAAGAGUAAUUGCACUAAGAGUGAUAACUGUAUUAGAAAUAGCAUGGUUUCUUUUUAUGUUUAUCUCCUCGGUUCUCUCUAGUGUUUAAUGGUUUGUUUUGAAGAGAGUGCUGCUGUUUUUUUUCUCUCUGAACGCUUUUUCACAAUCGCCUCGAUUUACAGCAUUUGUUAAAAUGUUUUUUUUUUUAUUUUAUUUGAUCAUUUGCACUGGUAAUAAACGAAUGUAGCCUAAUCCA